rnacentral:lncRNA from 1 species
CCUCCGGCUCCCGGCUCUGCUGCCGGCCCACGCCGUUCCCAUAGCAACAACGCGCCGAAGGCGGAGGAAAGCGCGGGGCCGCGCAUGCGCACCGAGCGGAGCGCCGCUCUCCUCAGCGCGGCCGCCAUCUUAGCGCCCUCGGCCUCCCGCCGACCCGAGGCAGAGAUCGGAGCCACCAUUUCUGCAUCCUGGGGAAGAGGAGGGCGGUUUACGUCCAAACACAGCGGAGACACCUCCGCCUGCCCUGUAGCAGCUGGGGGUGCUUUCCAGCAGCCCCGUGGCUCAGCACACUGCUCCCCAGCCCGGCCCCGCAGGAAAUCCUCACACAAACAUUAGUUAUCUGCAGUGCUCUCAGCUGUUUAUUCACAUUGCAUCACACACUCCUCCCCCCAGCACAUCACAGAGCAGGAGGGCACGCCUUGUUUUAGUUGUUCGACAUCAUAUUGGCACGAUGGAAUGUAGGCUAGUCAGAGAAAGUCAGUUUUUUUUUUUUUUAACCAACUCACUUCAUUAACACAUUUAUUUUUGUGACUGCUGUUAGAGAUACAAGGGGGUUCCUGCAUAAAAUCACAUUGGCAGUUUGCAAAGGUUUUACACCUCACCCAAGGGGCUUUUCAGAUGCAAAUACUUCAAAAUUUCUAUGGGAAAACAUUACUGCAUAAGUCAGAGCUAGAUCACACUUAAAAGCAUUAGAAUGCCAACCCAGACAUACUUUAAAUGUUACAUUUAAAUAUUAGCCAGAAGAACACUAAAUAAAGUUACAAAAUACAGUAAUCCAAGGGUCUGAAAGCCCAUGGUAAAAAUAGGGAGCCCGUGUCUUCAUUAACGAUGAAUAAAUAUAACAUUUAAAUAGCUGAAACACACCAGAUAACCUCACGCCUUAAAUAAAAAAAUAAAAUAGAUGUUUAUAGAUCUCUCUGUUUUAGAAAUCAGUGCUGCUAGAAGCUUCUAAAUUACAAAGCUGGAGGCUGGCAAAUACACAGGACAGAAAAUGACAUGAAAAUACAAUGCUAUCUUACAGACACAGCCUCUACACCCUGGCUGAGGCCUAGCUCAGACUUUGUCAUUUUGGGCAAUGGCAGCAAGAGAAGUCACCAAUUGUAGGGCCGAGUAAAACAGCCAAGGGGAAGAAUAUGGGGUGGUCCACUAUAUCCCCUAAAAAGCAAGGUAUGAUAGUGCCAAUCAAAGAGAACCAGACUGCCAUACCCAUUUGCCUAGUAUGGGAUCAUUUAGGCUGCCAGCCUCAGAACAGCGUACCACAUACAAAAAUAAAGGGCAAUUCUCUAAAACAAUAUAUUUUUUCCUCAAGAACCCCUUGAUAUGAGGUUUAUAGAUGCAGUACACAGGCCACCACUGGGACAGAUUUAGGUAAUCCUUCCAUUACUCCUUAGGCUUUAUCACAUGCUCCCGAAACAUGGAAUACAGCACACCACACGUUAUUGCUCCCACAACGAAACCCUGCGCUGCCACACGCAUGUGAAUCAGGUGAAGCGACAUCUUUGUGUUCCCCCGGUGCUUCAGUUUGUACAGCCCAUAGCCCACCACCACGGCAAAGCCAGCCAUCCCAAUCGGUACAAACGGCGUCUCCUUGAAUUUCCGUAGCAGCUUCGAUGUCUGGCUGGUUUCAGUCUCAUACUCAGGGUACACAGGUUCGUGACCGGACGACAUGGUGCCGCACAGCGCGCACUGAAGCCGCCACUCCGCACUCGGCUCCCGACACCGGCCGG